rnacentral:rRNA from 1 species
AUGGGUCUGAGAGGGGUGCUUCUCGCUCUGGCCUUGCUGCUCUCGGUGUGCGUGCGAGCAAGCCAUGGACUCACGGACAGCCAGGACACUUCUGUUCUCCGAGCGUUAAUGGAUCAGUGGCAGAACUCGCCGCCUACGUGGGGACAAUCCGAUGAUCCCUGCGGUGUUUCGCCAUGGGACGGAGUGACAUGCAGCAACGACAGGGUGAUCUCCAUAAAAGUGUCAACCAUGGGUAUCAAAGGACUUCUAGCUGCUGACAUCGGGCAGCUGACCGAGCUGCAAUCCCUGGACCUGUCAUUCAACAAAGACCUUGGAGGUGUGCUCACUCCGACCAUCGGUAAUUUGAAGCAGCUUGCGACCUUGAUUCUGGCAGGUUGCAGCUUUCAUGGCAACAUCCCUGAUGAGCUAGGCAGUCUUCCAAAACUAUCCUACAUGGCUCUGAACUCGAAUCAGUUCUCUGGAAAAAUACCAGCAUCUCUGGGCAAUCUCUCCAGCCUCUAUUGGUUUGAUGUCGCCGACAAUCAACUGACCGGCCCAUUGCCAAUCUCAUCAAACGGGGGAAUGGGUCUAGACAAGCUUACAAAAACCAAACACUUCCACUUCAACAAGAACCAAUUGUCUGGUCCCAUCCCAGAUGCUCUCUUCAGCCCUGAGAUGACACUGAUUCAUCUGCUUUUCGAUGGAAAUAAGUUCACCGGUGACAUCCCGGACUCUCUUGGGUUUGUUAGCACACUCGAAGUUGUCCGGCUGGAUAGAAAUUCCCUCUCCGGACCAGUUCCGGCGAACCUGAAUAACCUCACCAAAGUAAACGAGCUCAACUUAGCCAACAACCAGCUUAACGGACCGUUGCCCAAUCUAUCUGGGAUGACUCUUCUCAAUUAUGUUGAUCUGAGCAACAACACAUUUGAUCCUUCCCCGAGCCCGCAGUGGUUCUGGAAGUUGCCACAGCUCUCAGCUCUGAUCAUACAAUCCGGAAGACUCUACGGCACGGUGCCGAUGAAGCUGUUCAGCAGCCCGCAGCUGCAGCAAGUGAUCCUGGACGGCAACGCGUUCAAUGGCACCCUCGACCUGGGGAGGAGCAUUAGCAGCGAGCUGAGCAUGGUGAGCUUCAAGGACAACGACUUCUCCUCCGUCACGGUGACCUCCAGCUACAACGGCACCCUCGCGCUGGCCGGGAACCCGGUGUGCGACCACCUGCCGAACACGGCGUACUGCAACGUGACACAGCACGCGCCUUCUCGGGCGUACACGACAAGCCUGGUGAAGUGCUUCUCCGGGGCGUGCCCGCCGGAGCAGAGCAUGAGCCCGCAGAGCUGCGGGUGCGCGUACCCGUACCAGGGGGUGAUGUACUUCCGCGCGCCCUUCUUCGCGGACGUGGGCAACGGCACGGCGUUCCAGGAGCUGGAGAGCAAGCUGUGGACCAAGCUGGAGCUCAGCCCGGGCUCCGUGGCCCUGCAGGACCCCUUCUUCAACAGCGACUCCUACAUGCAGGUCCAGGUGAAGCUCUUCCCUUCCGGCGGCCCCUACUUCAACCGCACCGAGGUGAUGCGCAUCGGCUUCGACCUCAGCAACCAGACCUUUAAGCCGCCCAAGGAGUUCGGCCCCUACUACUUCAUCGCCUCCCCGUACCCCUUCCCAGAUCGGAACGUGCCGGCAUCCAAGAGCAAGGGCGCCAUCAUCGGGAUCGCGGUUGGCUGCGGCGUCCUGGUCAUCGCCCUCGUCGGAGCUGCUGUCUACGCGCUCACGCAGAGGCGCCGCGCACAGAAGGCCACGGAAGAGCUCGGCGGACCUUUCGCGUCGUGGGCUCGGAGCGAGGAGCGGGGCGGCGCGCCGCGGCUGAAAGGGGCGAGGUGGUUCUCGUGCGAGGAGCUGAAGCGGAGCACCAACAACUUCGCGGAGGCGAACGAGCUGGGGUACGGAGGGUACGGCAAGGUGUACAGGGGCAUGCUGCCCAACGGGCAGUUCAUCGCCAUCAAGAGGGCGCAGCAAGGGUCGAUGCAGGGCGGGCACGAGUUCAAGACCGAGAUCGAGCUGCUCUCCCGGGUGCACCACAAGAACCUCGUCGGCCUCGUCGGCUUCUGCUUCGAGCAGGGCGAGCAGAUGCUCGUCUACGAGUACAUGUCCGCCGGCACACUGCGCGACAGCCUCACCGGGAAGAGCGGCCUGCAUCUCGACUGGAAGAAGCGGCUCCGGGUGGCGCUGGGCGCCGCACGCGGCCUCGCCUACCUGCAUGAGCUCGCCGACCCGCCCAUCAUCCACCGGGACGUCAAGUCCAGCAACAUCCUCAUGGACGAGCACCUCACCGCCAAGGUCGCCGACUUCGGCCUCUCCAAAUUAGUGUCUGACAGCGACAAGGGCCAUGUCAGCACCCAAGUCAAAGGAACGCUGGGUUAUCUGGACCCCGAGUACUACAUGUCCCAGCAACUGACGGAGAAGAGCGACGUCUACAGCUUCGGCGUGGUCAUGCUCGAGCUGAUCAUCGCCAGGCAGCCGAUCGAGAAGGGGAAGUACAUCGUCAGGGAGGCCAAGAGGGUUUUCGACGCUGCCGACGCCGAGUUCUGCGGCCUCAGGGGCAUGAUAGACUCCAGGAUCAUGAACACCAACCAUCUCGCCGCGUUCAGCAAGUUCGUGCAGCUGGCCCUCCGGUGCGUGGAGGAGGGCGCUGCCGCCCGACCGUCGAUGAGCGACGUCGUCAAGGAGAUCGAGAUGAUGCUGCAGAGCGAGGGGCUCAGCAGCGCCUCGACAUCCGCCUCAACGUCUGCGACGGACUUCGACGUCACAAAAAGCGCUCCUCGCCACCCUUACAACGAUCCUCUCCCAAAGAAGGACAAGGACAUGAGUACAGACUCAUUCGACGAUUAUAGCGGAGGAUAUUCUUUCCAGUCAAAGGUCGAACCAAAGUAG